rnacentral:rRNA from 1 species
AUUGAACGCUGGCGGCAUGCCUUACACAUGCAAGUCGAACGGUAACAGGUCUUCGGAUGCUGACGAGUGGCGAACGGGUGAGUAAUACAUCGGAACGUGCCCGAGAGUGGGGGAUAACGAGGCGAAAGCUUUGCUAAUACCGCAUACGAUCUCAGGAUGAAAGCAGGGGACCGCAAGGCCUUGCGCUCACGGAGCGGCCGAUGGCAGAUUAGGUAGUUGGUGGGAUAAAAGCUUACCAAGCCGACGAUCUGUAGCUGGUCUGAGAGGAAGACCAGCCACACUGGGACUGGGACACGGCCCAGACUCCUACGGGAGGCAGCAGUGGGGAAUUUUGGACAAUGGGCGCAAGCCUGAUCCAGCCAUGCCGCGUGCAGGAUGAAGGCCUUCGGGUUGUAAACUGCUUUUGUACGGAACGAAAAGACUCUGGUUAAUACCUGGGGUCCAUGACGGUACCGUAAGAAUAAGCACCGGCUAACUACGUGCCAGCAGCCGCAGUAACAC